CUACGGGUCGCACCAGUGGGGAAUAUUGCACAAUGGGCGCAAGCCUGAUGCAGCCAUGCCGCGUGUAUGAAGAAGGCCUUCGGGUUGUAAAGUACUUUCAGCGGGGAGGAAGGGAGUAAAGUUAAUACCUUUGCUCAUUGACGUUACCCGCAGAAGAAGCACCGGCUAAGUCCGUGCCAGCAGCCGCGGUAAUACGGAGGGUGCAAGCGUUAAUCGGAAUUACUGGGCGUAAAGCGCACGCAGGCGGUUUGUUAAGUCAGAUGUGAAAUCCCCGGGCUCAACCUGGGAACUGCAUCUGAUACUGGCAAGCUUGAGUCUCGUAGAGGGGGGUAGAAUUCCAGGUGUAGCGGUGAAAUGCGUAGAGAUCUGGAGAAAUACCGGUGGCGAAGGCGGCCCCUUGGACGAAGACUGACGCUCAGGUGCGAAAGCGUGGGGAGCAAACAGGAUUAGAUACCCUCGUAGUC
rnacentral:rRNA from 1 species